rnacentral:rRNA from 1 species
GACGAACGCUGGCGGCGUGCUUAACACAUGCAAGUCGAACGGUAAGGCCCUUCGGGGUACACGAGUGGCGAACGGGUGAGUAACACGUGGGUGAUCUGCCCUGCACUUCGGGAUAAGCCUGGGAAACUGGGUCUAAUACCGGAUAGGACCACUGCCUGCAUGGGUGGUGGUGGAAAGCUUGUGCGGUGUGGGAUGGGCCCGCGGCCUAUCAGCUCGUUGGUGGGGUGAUGGCCUACCGAGGCGACGACGGGUAGCCGGCCUGAGAGGGUGACCGGCCACACUGGGACUGAGAUACGGCCCAGCAUCCUACGGGAGGCAGCAGUGGGGAAUAUUGCACAAUGGGCGCAAGCCUGAUGCAGCGACGCCGCGUGAGGGAUGACGGCCUUCGGGUUGUAAACCUCUUUCAGCACCGACGAAGCGCAAGUGACGGUAGGUGCAGAAGAAGGACCGGCCAACUACGUGCCAGCCGCCGCAGUAA